rnacentral:rRNA from 1 species
AUGAUGAGCUCGAAGUACCAGACCUCGGGGCACUUCUGCCAGAGCACGAAGCCGCCGACCUCGGCGCGUCCCUGGGCGGCGGUGACUGUCUGGUCGCCGAGGUGGAACUCGGACGCGCACAUCUUCACCUUCCCGACGGCGUACAUGCUCUGCACGCCCUGCAGCGCCGCCUGCCCGCCCGUGGCGGCGAUGUACUGA